rnacentral:rRNA from 1 species
CCCGACUCGAUUGUGCCCCCGGGCCCGGGAGGGGCCGUAGACCCAAGGGUGAGAGUGGAUGAGGCCCCCGCCUCGGCUAACCACCGAGGCGGCAUGGAGCUCCCCGCCCGCCCCUUCGCCGCCGGGUGGCCCGUUUCCAAUGCCAACACUCCGCGUACACGUCCACUGUUGCUUCCCCGGGGGGGGGAUAACCACCCUCGGGGGAGGUCCCCGAGCAUACCUCGCGGCCCAACCCACCGGAGUCCCCUCCGUCUGAUGGCCAGCGCGCCAAGGUAGAAGGAAAGCUAGAAAAACAAAACUUUCAACAACGGAUCUCUUGGUUCCCGCAUCGAUGAAGAACGCAGCGAAAUGCGAUAAGUAAUGUGAAUUGCAGAAUUCAGUGAAUCAUCGAAUCUUUGAACGCACAUUGCGCCCCCUGGCAUUCCGGGGGGCAUGCCUGUUCGAGCGUCUCUGGGACGAACCCCUCGCGCCAGUGAAAGCGCGGUCUUGGCGACGGUGGCCAUUGCGGGUAGGACGCGGCCACCGCGCUGGAAUCCAUGGGCGGACGCCUGCCGCGUUGCCGAGCGUGAUAUGACUCAUGUGCGCCCGUGCGCGGCGAGGCUGCCGGCCCUUGCCCGUCCGUCGGGCGGGUGAUAGCAGGACAUCGGAACUCCUCGAAUCAG